GACGAACGCUGGCGGCGUGCCUAAUACAUGCAAGUCGAACGCAGUGGGGACGGGUGAGUAACACGUGGGUAACCUCCCAUCAGAGGGGAUAACCCUUGGAAACAGGUGCUAAACCGCUACUGAUGGAUGGACCCGCGGUGCAUUAGCCAGUGGGUGGGGUAACGGCUCACCAAGGCCACGAUGCAUAGCCUACCUGAGAGGGUGCUCGUGCACACUGGAACGGAGACACGGCCCAGAUUCCUACGGGAGGAAGCAGUAGGGAAUUUUCGUCAACGGACGCAGGGCUGAUCGAGCAACGCCGCGUGAGUGAAGAAGGUUUGCGGAUAGUAAAACACUGUUGUCCGUGAUGCGGUACUUAACGAGGAAGCGACGGCUAACUACGUGCCAGCAGCCGCGGUAAUAC
rnacentral:rRNA from 1 species